GACAGCAGUCGCCACGGGAAUACAGAGGGUGCAAGCGUUAAUCGGAAUUACUGGGCGUAAAGCGCGCGUAGGUGGUUUGUUAAGUUGGAUGUGAAAUCCCCGGGCUCAACCUGGGAACUGCAUCCAAAACUGGCAAGCUAGAGUAUGGUAGAGGGUGGUGGAAUUUCCUGUGUAGCGGUGAAAUGCGUAGAUAUAGGAAGGAACACCAGUGGCGAAGGCGACCACCUGGACUGAUACUGACACUGAGGUGCGAAAGCGUGGGGAGCAAACAGGAUUAGAUACCCCCGUAGUCCCUGUCUCUUAUAA
rnacentral:rRNA from 1 species